rnacentral:rRNA from 1 species
GAUGAACGCUAGCGGCAGGCUUAAUACAUGCAAGUCGAGGGGCAGCACGAAUAGCAAUAUUUGGUGGCGACCGGCAAACGGGUGCGGAACACGUACGCAACCUUCCUUUAAGUGGAGAAUAGGACCCGGGGGAAACCCGGAUUAAUACUCCGUAACAUUAUAAAGUGGCACCACUUAGUAAUUAUAGAUUUAUCGCUUAAAGAUGGGCGUGCGCCUGAUUAGGUAGUUGGC